rnacentral:rRNA from 1 species
UACGUAGGGGGCAAGCGUUGUCCGGAUUUAUUGGGCGUAAAGAGCGUGUAGGCGGCUAGAUAGGUCCGUUGUGAAAACUCGAGGCUCAACCUCGAGACGUCGAUGGAAACCAUCUGGCUAGAGUCCGGAAGAGGAGAGUGGAAUUCCUGGUGUAGCGGUGAAAUGCGCAGAUAUCAGGAAGAACACCGGUGGGGUAGACGGCUCUCUGGACCGUAACUGACGCUGAGGCACGAAAGCGUGGGUAGCAAACAGG